GACAGCAAUGCAUUCCCACAGGAUGAAUCUUCUCCAGACUGAAGACCGUUUCCUUCAACCUUUUUUUUUUCUGUCUUAUUCCUUUCUCCUCCUCUUGUUUAGUUUUCUUUUUUUUUUUUUUAACCUGUAAAUACUAUUGAUGAAUCAGAAAUUUUCUUUCUAGGUCUUCAUAAAUUAUCAGUAUAAUUCUUUGUCAUGCCUGCUUCUUCCUGGUCUCACUUUCUCUCACUGUGGUAAUCCAUUUUCUUAAUCACCUAAUUUUUAAUCAACCAAAGUGAGUAUGAGGUAAAAGGAUUAGCAGUUUGGGCAGAAGUUAAAAUGUCUCAUGGAUGUUUUGACUCAAACUCUAUAGACUUAUUUGUAGCAAGUGCUUAUGAUAUAAUUCAGCUGAACGAGAGGGCAGCUUUAAGACAUUUUAGAAUUGUUUCUUACCAUUGUCUUUUACUUCCUGGGCUCUUCAAUGUUUGUCAUAAUUAUACCUAGUUAGAAGGCUUCAUUUGCUCUGAGUUAUCAUUGAGAACUAAAUGGAGAAGAAAAGAACUGAAGGCCUGAAGAUAUGUCAUCUGUAGAAAAGGUGAGCUGAACUUUUCUCUGUCUGAACAUACUUUGGGUUUACAAUGAGACAUUUACGUAUUUGUAUAAAUCGGUUAUACUCUGAGCUAAUGUGAACACAAACUUGGUAUAAAUACAGAUGACUCCCUCUCUGCUGCUGUGGGAGGUUCAACUGACACCUGGGGCUCAGACCAGUCUUGUUACCACAUGCUUGGUGAAAUUCAAAGUGUGUCACACAACUACAACAGCAUUCAUGGCCAACCUAUUUGGUAGAAAGGAUUGAAGUCAGAUGGGAGGUCAAUUUGCUGUCUAAAUCAAAAAAACUUAGCUCCUUUGCAGAUAAUUGAAGAUGCUGCAACAUUGCCCGAAAACAUUUUAUAAUAAACAGGUGAAAUAAGUGAUAAUGAAGGUGGGUUUGGAUUUUUUAUUUUAGAAGGAGAAAUUUCAUAGAAAAUAUGAAUCCUUGUCUCAUGAUUAGUGUCUCUCUGCAACAGCCCCAUCCUUCUGCAGGUGGCCUCUUCUCAAGCUUUCUUGGCAAAUCAAGAGCUUCUGCCUUUUGGAGGACAUCCUCUUGACCUCCCACCCAUAUCAGCUCUUAGAGGACAUUCCACAGGAACAUUGCCUUCUUGUCCUCCAGUAUUUUUUAUGGAAACAGAAAUUAGGUUAUCUUCCUUAUGCUCUAGAUGGACAUCUGAAAUCAUCAAACCCUUGAGAGAAACAGCCCUCAUUCUUUUAUGAGACAACCUGGAAGAAAACAGGACUCUGAAGAUUUGUCUCCAUAUUCUCUGGAAAGAUGUACUCUGUUUGCAAUAAGAGGGAGCCACAUGGUUUAUUAGAUGGUUAUUAAUUGAGCAUUCUGUGCAAAGAAGUUUGUGCCUUAGAUUUAGAAUUCCACCCUCAGUUGGAAUACAGAUGAUCCCUAACAAGUCACAUGAAAAAAUGAACUGUGGAGCCAGAAGAGUGAGUUCUUGGAGAACUAAGGGCCAGAGACCUGUGAGCAAGAUUUGAUAAUUUUAUAAAAAUUAAAAGACGAUUUGAAAUGUUAUUGGUCUUACUAAAACUUUUACUUGUGAACUGCAAUUGAUGACAUGAUCACUUGUGCCAAUUAUAAUUUUAUACCAAAGGACUGCAGAGCAUUGGAUGGGUUUGUUGGGCAGGUUUCUCACAAACGCUGACAGAAAGGUAUGACGAAGGAUGGGAGGACAAACUGGGGGGGUGCCAAGUAGAAAAACAGAAGCGAUGGCUAAGUGCUCGUCCUGGACUCUGCCCUUUGAUAAGGGACUGAAGGUCCCUUAUGAUCUUCUUUCAAAUUCCACCGUCACAGUUUUAGUCACAUCCAUCUAUAAUAUUAUUUACUAUCAGACUUUUCUUUAAAUUGACUCGCUUUUUCACUUUAGCCUUAUCCCAAGCAAUAAUGCAUAUAAAUCAUAAGUUUGUUGUAAUAGAUUUUUUGUAAUACUAAUCAAAAUUAAAUUUAUUCCCCUGUAACAGAGAUAAUUUCUCAAAUUACUUUGGAAAACACCAAUUUAAAGUGCUCAGUUUACCACUUGAGGAAAAUGAGAGAUCAGAGGAGUAAAGCCAAUUUUCCAAGGUCACACAGCCUGACAACUGGAAAUCCUGGCCUAGCACCUAAGUCUUUUAGGUAUUGGCCCAGUACUCUUUCCUUCUAUCAUCUUUCUCAGAGGCAAAGAAAAAAAAAAAAA
ensembl:lncRNA LINC01210 long intergenic non-protein coding RNA 1210